rnacentral:tRNA from 1 species
GUGAGUAUAGCUCAGUGGUAGAGCACAUGCUUAGCAUGCAUGAGGUCCUGGGUUCAAUCCUCAGUACCUCUA